CCUACGGGUGGCUGCAGUGGGGAAUAUUGGACAAUGGGCGAAAGCCUGAUCCAGCCAUGCCGCGUGUGUGAAGAAGGCCUUCGGGUUGUAAAGCACUUUCAGUGGGGAAGAAAGCCUUGGGGCUAAUACCCUCGAGGAAGGACAUCACCCACAGAAGAAGCACCGGCUAACUCCGUGCCAGCAGCCGCGGUAAUACGGAGGGUGCGAGCGUUAAUCGGAAUUACUGGGCGUAAAGCGCGCGUAGGCGGUCUGAUAAGCCGGUUGUGAAAGCCCCGGGCUCAACCUGGGAACGGCAUCCGGAACUGUCAGGCUAGAGUGCAGGAGAGGAAGGUAGAAUUCCCGGUGUAGCGGUGAAAUGCGUAGAGAUCGGGAGGAAUAACAGUGGCGAAGGCGGCCUUAUGGACUAACACUGACGCUGAGGUGCGAAAGCGUGGGUAGCAAACAGGAUUAGAUACCCUUGUAGUC
rnacentral:rRNA from 1 species